AGCAAGGAAGCGGAUGCGGGCACGAUGACGGGCUCCAUCCACAAAGUCCCUGUCGACACCUUCACCAUCCUCCCCCCGUCCUGAGUUGCUGCUUACCCCAAAAUCUUCCCCGCCGGAUCUCUCCCCUGCCGUGAGAGCCCCCUGGCCGGCGGCCGUGGCAUCGGUCGGGUCCUCCUCUGUCUCUGAGGCUCUCCUGCCGUCCCGUGCUCUGGCUUCUCCCAUACAUCUCCUCACCUGGACGGCGGUCUGCGACCUGCUGGUUGGUUCGCUAUGUGGGGACUGGAUGGCCAGCAGCGCCGCCGCCUGCUCUGAGUCUGGGGGCGCGGCGUUUUGUCAUUGUGUGGACCACCCGGACGACGACCAGGAGUCCAGGAUGCAUACAACUCUGUCGGCGAGGUGGUGUGCGAAAGACUCAUGGCUGAACCGGUGGGUACGUGUAUCACUGCUAGGACAAUUCAGAUAAUUCGCGUAGCUAAUACUUACUGGGAUAACGAUGGUCAAAGCAUUGAGGCCCAGCGAGUGGCAGAGCUCCUCAUGUGCUAUUUUCCUUUACAAUGUUUUACUAUCAAUGUGUGGAGAAUAAUUAUUUAUAUGACAUUCAUUAUUGAUCCAAAACAUAUCUGAUUUUGUAGAUUCCAUUAUUUAAGUUGAAUAUGAUUAAAAAAAAACUAUUUCUAUCCUAUACUUGGCUGUUGUAAAUUUGAUUAUGUUCUUUUUGCAUGUUGUGGUGUCGUAUUUUAGACAACACCGAACAUUUAACUUCCAUUGUCUAAACGUGUUAACAAUAUAUUGUAUGCAGUUCGGUGCUAGGAAAAAAAUUUAAGUACAUGUGGAUAUAUUUUCUAUUAAACCCGCUGAGCAUUAUUGUAUAUGUAUCACUAUUUUUGUAUGCAAGUUCUAUGCUAGGAAAAAAAGCCUUCAUUACAGGUACACAUACUUGCUCUACUUCAAGAUAGCUUUCCAUUUCUCAUCCAAGUUACUUUGUUAACUCAUCUCUAGCUGAAGUGUUUGGGAGAAGCAAAAGAGUGUAGUCCUUGGAAUUUUGAUUGUCGGUUUACUCAAAGGACUUAAUUCCUAAGUGUUUUCAUGCCUUAGAACACUGAAUGCAUCAUGUUCUCACAUAUGAGUUAUUUGUUCAAACCAAGUUAGUUGUAGCAAAUUAGCAGAAAGGGAUACAUUUACCUCAGAUAAGUUUUCUUCAGAGUCCAUUGCUAUUCUUGCUAUCCGGAGUAGCAACAUGUUAUCAAAAUAUUUUUUCGGGUGGAAGCUCUAGCUUUGUGUCCUCAAGAACAACAUAAUACUUGCAAAAAAUAGGCAAAAACAUCUAAUAUGUCAGCUCCCCCUGUACGCCUCUUUUCGUGGAUCAAAAGGAAGUUGUAAAUUUCCCGUUUUCAUUAGCUAGAUAAAAGUAUAUUGGUUCAACACAUAGCAAGUGAUAAAAAGUCUCUCUUUUUUGGUCAAAUAAAUUUCUAAGUUCACGAGUUAUUGCUUCUUUGGUUGCAUUCAAAACCUGAAUUUCUAUGGUUUGACCUGCCUUUGGAUAUGCAAACAGCCUUCCUCAGAAUUAUGUCAAAGCAUUUGAAAAGACAGAGAUCAAAACACUGGACAACUUACAUAAGAAUUAGGUUUGGUCAUAUAGGCUGCCAGGUGUUGCACAUGAGUGCUGCUGCCAAAUCUGCUGCUGGCCAUCUACUUGCUCUGUCAUGGUUAGACUGUAACUGGGAUAGAUAAAAUUAUACAGCGCGGGAAAUGUCCUGCACCGUGCUAUUUGUCACAUGUGAUGCUAUUGGGUAACCAUAAUCGACCUAUCCAGUCGAUAUAUGCAUCAUCCCUGAAUCACGAAGAAAGACCCAAUAAUUUAUUAUGCAUCCUGCCAAUUUUUCAGUGUUACUACAAUACAUAACCGUUUGCACCUCUGGCAGCACACGUUGGAGAUAAUACUCUUCUUUCAGGGUACUUAUCUAACAUGACAUACGAUUUAUUAUCUAUUUCAUUUGCAUUCUUUGAUUAUUUCAUACCGUAUUUCAUUACCAUUUUUGAUAAUUUCUCUAAACUAUGGAAAUAACCAUACUUGCAAAGUUAUACUAGCAGCUAAAUGUAUACUCAU